CCACAAUGAUGAAUUGCCCAGACAUUCACAGUUUCCACCAGAAUUGAACUUGUGUUGGCAUACUAGCUUUCUUCCUUGUUUGUCGGAGUGA
rnacentral:snoRNA from 1 species